rnacentral:lncRNA from 1 species
GGAGGCUGAUUUCUCAUUGUAAGGAGGAGUAGCUCUCCGCAGAGCCUCGGGAGAUAGGCUCAGGUCAGGAGGCUAAUUGCUGGUGAAAUAGCAUCGAAGGGGAAGGGAGAAAGAUGAAGAAAGAAAGCUCUGUCUCUGAAGCCUGCCUGCCUUUGAGGUUCUUCACCCAUAGGAGGUAGAGUCAAUGGGAGUGGAACAAGUGAAUGAAUGAAGGGAUGAACGAGGGCAAGAAAUUCAAAAGAAGUGCAACAUCCUGGUCUAACCUACAGUCAGCAAACAAGAAGAACAACUAACAGAGUAAUUCAGAGACUCCAUCUGGCUUCUUGCCCUGGAUGCUGACCAGUUUGCUUCUGUGACAUUAACCUGGUGCCUGAGAGUCUGAGUGUCAAUUUUGUACAGCUAUACAUAAAAGAUUUGAAAAUGAAUAUCACUCAGAGGACAAUGAAGAGCCACUUAAUGGAGACUCGAAUACAGGACUACAAUCCCCACAAGCCUUUGCUCCACUUCCCCAGAAUGCCUUGUAAUCUCACCUGGGCCGAGAUCGAGAAGGUAUUUAAGCUGAUUCAAAGGCUUUUGAGGGCGCUCGCUCUCUUGGCUCUUUUUGGACUUCCGUUUUGGAGCAGGCGGUCUCUUGCGUGAUGUGAGGUUAUUUUGUCUAGGCCUCUGGCCUAGGCACAUGUUUCUUACUUGUAUAUUCUUUAAUCUUUAACCUUUAAUAAACCUCUAAAAAUAUAAUACUUCUUGCA